rnacentral:lncRNA from 11 species
CGGAUAUGUUAGUCUGCUUCAAACCCACCCAAAGCUAACAGUGUUGUCUUUUUUUUUAGAAGAAAAGAUAACCUCCCUUUAUCUUUCGGUGUCAUGGAAGAGGAACACAACACACGGAAGGGCAAGUAAUUACUCUUCAUGAAGCACUGGAGCCGGUUUCCUAUUUUGCAAGCGACGUUUCGGGGGGACUCGGAGUUCUGCUUGAAGACACCUUGCGUCAGGCCCUCGGAUAAUUGAUGCAUCUUCCCAUCACGUCUGGCUCCCCGGCAGAGUCCCCGGGGUCUUUAAAGAGGAACAUCAGAGACCAGAGGAUUAGAAAUUCUAAUUGUUCGGGAAGAGAGACACAUUUAAAGAGACACCGCUGCUCUUCUUCUUCUUUCUUCUCCUCUCUUGUCUUUUCUUUUUUGGAAAGAAGAGUUUCCAGGACAAGACUCACAAGGCGCCUGGUGAUCAAGACCUUCGGCCUGGAAAUAAAUAAUCUCUUCUACCUUGCUCCAUGCAAUUCCAGAUGGUGUCAAUGCUAUGGGAUCCUGGGAUUUAUAGUUUGGUUGAGCGGAGAAGGCAAAAGAACUUUAGAAACUACAACUCCCAUGAUUCCAUAGCAUUGUGAGCUGUAGUUUGAUAAGGUCCUUGGCCUUCUCUAUGAAAGAGUGCUGGUGCCUCCUCAAACUACAGCUCCCAGGAAUCCCAUUGCAUUGGGAGAUGUAGUUUUACAAGGUCUUUCACUUUCUCUAUGAAAGAGUGCUGGCCCCUCCUCAAACUACAAUUCCCAGCAUCCCAUAGAAUUGGGAGAUGUACUUUUACAAGGCCUUUUGCCCUCUCUGCCAAAGAGAGCUAGUGUGCUUCAUCAAACUACAGCUCCCAGGAAUCCCA